rnacentral:rRNA from 1 species
AGAGUUUGAUCCUGGCUCAGAACGAACGCUGGCGGCGUGCCUAACACAUGCAAGUCGAGCGAGAAAGUUCCUUCGGGAAUGAGUAAAGCGGCGCACGGGUGAGUAACACGUAGGUAACCUACCCUUGAGCCCGGAAUAACCCGUCGAAAGAUGGGCUAAUGCCGGAUGAGACCACGGUGGUCACGGCCACCGCGGUCAAAGAUGGCCUCUGUUCACAAGCUAUCACUCGGGGAUGGGCCUGCGCGCCAUUAGCUAGUUGGUGAGGUAACGGCUCACCAAGGCGAUGAUGGCUAGCUGGUCUGAGAGGAUGACCAGCCACACUGGGACUGACACACGGCCCAGACUCCUACGGGAGGCAGCAGUGGGGGAUAUUGCGCAAUGGGCGAAAGCCUGACGCAGCGACGCCGCGUGGGUGAUGAAGGCCUUCGGGUCGUAAAGCCCUGUCGAGGGGGACGAAUCAGUUUGGUCCUAACACGGCCAGACCCUGACGGUACCCCUAAAGGAAGCACCGGCUAACUCCGUGCCAGCAGCCGCGGUAAUACGGAGGGUGCAAGCGUUGUUCGGAAUCACUGGGCGUAAAGGGCGUGUAGGCGGUCCGCUAAGUCUGAUGUGAAAGCCCGAGGC